AUGUAUGUGCAGCCAGGUCAUAAAUGAAAUUAUUUGUGGGUCUUUUAUUCCCCGACUGCAAGUUAUAAAAGAAACUGCAUUAACGCUGCAAUUUUGAGGAUUUGAGGUAAUCAGUAUAAAACAAACAAAAUGAACUGAUUGCUGAGUGAUGGGGUCGAUGUCGAGGGAUUUCUGGUGAGCCGUAUGACGAGGCUACUGUAGAAGCAUGGAGGCACAAAUAUGGCAAACUCAGUGGAAGGACGUGCAUAAAACUAACAGCAACAUAACCAGUAACUGCUUACUAACGAGGACCAGAGUGAUUAUUUGUCAACUUAAAUUAAAUUCAGAAUUAGAUUAAUCUGCAGCAAUCAGUUUGCGUCGCAGCCUGUUGAGUCGUUGGUUACAAAAGAACAAAACAACAUGAACAACCUCCUCCAACAAACUAUAAUUAUGUUAAUGCGAAGUGAUGCCAAUUAAACACACGAGUGAUUCCUUCAGAGGAGACUUCGCUGCAGAUGUUCCCGCCAUCUGGAUUCUGUCCUCGCUGUGCGGGGGGGAAAAAGUACAAAAGAUGGACUUUCUUUGUUGUUUUCAGUAGUUGAUCAAUAUAAUCAGAUUCUGAAAAGCUGACACUGUCAAAUAUUCAGAUUUUUGAGUUAGCAGUGUGUAACUGUAGUCAGUUAAAUCUGUAGACUAAUUAAGAUCAAGCACGUCAGUUUUGACCUUCAGUGGAAAACUCGUCCAUGCAUCAGCAUCAGUGCUUAAUCUUCACAGAAUGAUUCGAUAAUUCAUAUUUUAAAUAUUCAUUCUUGUUUGCAGUUGUGAUAUAAGCUGUUAAUACUGUAGAUCCGUAUGGAUUUGUACAUUUCGUUGACAGAUUGUAGCUUAAUUAAAGGAUGUCUGUCGUCUU